rnacentral:misc_RNA from 1 species
GCCUAGAUUACAGAGUGAGUAAAAAAUAAAGAUGUUGUCGUCUUGUGUUUGUGAUGAGUUUUCUUGGUUGUUUCAUUGAAAUGUCAUAGAUGUCGAUUUGUGUUUGUUUUGGUUAGUUUUAACUAGUUAUAAUUUCGUGAGUGUAGUGUAAGAAUAUGUGCACUUUAAAUUUAAUUAGGACGAGUUAUAUAAUGGAUCAAAUAUAAAAAAUGUGAAUCAAUCAUGAAGACAGUUCCUUCUGAACAAGAUUACCAUGACACAGAAAUUCAAGACGAUUCUAUUCAAGAGGCAAACAUAACUGUCCUUAAAGAUGGAUUAAAGGUUGUUGGGAAUCCUUGUCAGGAACACUUACCGAGAAGUAACAGUGGCAGUGACAUUCAAAAUACGUGUGAAACAGAGAACCUUAUUAUUUGUAACCCUGAUCUAGCUGCAAGUUUUCAAACAUUUAAGACAGAAAAACACAAAUUAAACCCUGGGCACUAUCUUCAAAAAGUGUUUUUGAGUAGUGUUGCUCAAAAGUUCAAAAGUCAAAGCUUACCUAGUUGUCUCGAAAAAAAGAAAUUCCAAAAGAAUUUAUAUUCUGAGGCUAUUGAUGAAUUAAAUGAGACAUCAGUUCCUUUAGUUGAAACAUCUGACAAUACUAGUUUUGGUAAUCGUGAUAGUAAAGAAUCAUUUUCGGGUGAUUGGUUUAAAACUUGGCCAGAAAGAGGGGAUAAAGUUUUAAUUCGAAAGGGAGAAUCAUACUCCGAUGAAAAAGUACAAACUAAUAUAAUAUGUGAUGAAUUUAGUGUUUCGGAAAUAUUAGUGAAAGAUAAUGAACUCAAAGGAAGUUCAUUUAACACACAAUCAAAAAGAUCUGUGGAUGGUUGCAAUUCUGAGACUGAUGAUACAUUCUUUGACAUCUCAAAAGAAUCUCAUUCAUGUAAAGAAAAUCUGUUUAAUGGUAGUUUAGAAAGAAGGCCUAUUAAAGAAUCUAAUAAAGCAAAGACAACACAUUCUGCAAAAUUUGAAGGAAGUUCCAAAUCAAUCCCCCUUGACAGACUGUUGGACAACUUUCCAUUAGCUUACAGUCCUAUUACUAAACAAUUACUCCUUAUAAAACCUGAUAAUGAAAGUAUUGUGAAUAUUUGUGGUGAAGAAAUCUACAGACCUGAUUCUCUGAAUGCAAUUACAAGGCGUAAUGCUGAAGAAAAAUUGAACCUGGAGGAGUCUUACAACGAUAAAACGGGUGGUGGGAAGGGACGGACAAGUAACCCUCGAGGUCUUGAUUGUGAUUUAGCUAGUUCUAAUUUUCAGCGCACAAGUGCGGAGAUAGGCUCAUUUUCAAGUACUGUGUCUAGUUUAAGUGAUAAUUCUCCUUCAACAAAUGAAGAUUCUGCUCUUGGAAGUCUAUUAGAUCAUGGUGAUACUUGUUCUCUUGUGUCUGUUGGUGGUUGUAGUGCCUUUUCAGAAGAUUCCAUAGAGGCCAAGACCAAAAAGAAAAGUCUAGCUGGAUUUUUCAGCAGAAAUGUGUUCAACUGGAAGUCGGGAUCGAGAUCGGAGGAUAGCAUCACUCGUAGUGUCGCCAGUUGGAAACUGUUCGGCAAGAGUUCGUCUCCGCAGUCCUCACACACCUCCCUCACAGUCGACCACUAUGCUGAUUCUGAUGGCGGGAGCCUGGCACCGGACUCGCCGUGUAGUGUUCGCUCCAGCAGCUCUGGCCCGAGGACAUUCUCUCACGAGAACAGGGUUGCCAGCAGUUCAGCCCUCAUACAGUUGGACAGGCCUGCCAACCUGCCAGCGAAGAGUGAGGAGGAGGAGGCUCGCCAUCGCCUCGAGUACCAACAGAUGGUGGAGGCUGCUCGCAAGAAAGAGCUGAAGGAGGCAAAACAACGGAAGAAACAGCUCCAGCAACAGUUGAGGGCUGAGGAACAGUUAGCCCAGGCUACAAGAGUGUGGACUCAGGAGAUCCUGCCUAGAUGGGACCAGAUGCACACUGGUAAGAAAGCAAGGGAGCUGUGGUGGCAGGGAGUGCCGUCGUGUGUCAGAGGCAGGGUUUGGCAACUAGCAAUUGGCAACCCUCUCAACCUCACUCACUCUCUGUACGACAUCUGUGUUCAAAGGGCUCAAGACAGACUGCGUAGCGGCGGUGGUUGUGACGAUGAGGAUUCUGACAACAAGGAGGCCAGUAUGCAGCAGAUCCAGUUAGACAUCAGCCGUACCUUUCCCCAUCUCUGCAUUUUUCAGAGGGGAGGGCCUUACUAUGACAUGCUACACUGUUUACUCGCUGCAUACGUCUGCUACCGGCCGGAUGUAGGCUACGUGCAGGGCAUGUCCUUCAUAGCUGCCGUCCUAAUCUUGAAUAUGGAGGCUGCUGAUGCCUUUGUGUGUUUCGCCAACUUGCUCAAUAAACCCUGUCACAUGGCUUUCUUCCACCUCAACCAGCCUCUGAUGGAGGCAUACUAUUCAACGUACAACGAAUUGCUGAGGGAGAAUCUGCCACAAGUCUAUGCCCAUUUCUCUCUCACAGCGCUCAGUCCAGAUCUGUAUCUGCUGGACUGGAUAUACACAGUGUUCACCAAGGCAAUGAGCCUGGAUCUGGCUUCCAGGGUGUGGGACGUAUUCCUGAGGGACGGUGAUGAAUUCCUCUUUAGGACAGCUCUCGGCGUCCUCCACCUAUGUCAAGACACUCUCCUCCAGAUGGAUUUUGUUCAUGGUUCCCAAUUUUUGACAAGGCUGCCAGAUGACCUCUCUGGGGAUCAGCUGUUCAAAAGCAUCUCCUGUAUCAAGAUGGCUGUUGGGAAGCAAUCUUUUCAAGACAUUCUUGCUGCCAAUUCCAUUGAUUGCCAUUGAACUUUCUUUUAUCUGUGUUUGUGUCUUUCCUUAUACUUAAGAGACAUAAUGAUUUUAAAUAUUGUAUGGAGUCACAAUAAUUGUUUGCUUUUACAGAAGUAAAAACAAUACAUCACGCAAUCUAAUUUUACAUUGAUGUGAAGUACAAUAAAACAUCAGUAAUCUCAUAAUUUUACAUAUUUAUGUAGUUAAUAAAAAAUGUCCUAUAUUAUAAGAAUUUAUUCAUUAUUUAUUUUUGCGUAUAGUUUAUUUUAAAAGUAUAAUUCAUUAACUUUGAUUUUAUGACUGCUUCAAUGUUGGUGAUAGUUACAUCUAAAAAACAUAUGAUUACAAUGUACUGUUGAGUUAAUAUUUUGUAAAGAUUUUAAAGACCAAUCUCAUUUUAUCAAUCUUCUAUAUUAUCUAUGAGAGGUAUUUAACUUAUUUUAUAUUGAAGCUUGAAAUAAAAAUAUGUUGAAGAACCAAUAAUGCAUUAACAGAAAUGUUUGAAAAAUUGUGCUUUUGAUUUAAAAAGUACAAUAAGUGUUAGUGAAUCAAAUAUAAAUAGCAUAUCAUUAAAAAUAUAUUAAAUUAGAGAAAUAACAUAUGAAGUAAGAUGUCUGUUUAUGUAAUUGAAAUUUUGAAUUCACAAAUGUUGACUACAUAAACAAUAAAAUAAAUUAAGUGUUGUUUAUAAUACAUAGUUAAUUACAUAAUUUCAUCAUUGCUUUUAUUAUUUCAUUACUAGAAAACUAUUGUGCAAUCAGAACAGAAUAUAGUAAAAUCAUAAAUGUGAGUUAUUGGUAUCUUACAUCACUAUCCAAAAUAUAGAUUCAAGGUUAAUUUUAAAGAGAACAACCUAGCAGUAACUAAAUCCAUAAAGUAAUCUAAUACAUGUUGUGUUCUCUCCUAUACAUAGGUAAAAUUCAAAAAUAUGUGUAAAAUUAACACCUGAAAACAGAUUGUAUAUAUCUAGUAAUAAGAAAAUUUAAAAUUGAAAUAUAACGAAGUGUUAUAUAUUUUUUUUUACUAAUUGCGGUUUGCAUGAAAAAUGAAAGUUAUGAGUUGAGGAUCAUGUUGUUAGGUUGUUCUGUUAUAUGAGGAGUGCCGUCCGUGUAGUCUGUGUCAAUAUGUGAUAUGUUCUCUCCAAGCUUAGCUCAUUAUGCUUAAAGAGAUGUAGAUUUGUAUUCAUUUAAGUCUCCAAGACAGUUAUAAACACUUUUAUAAAUGUUUAAAUCGUGAACUAUAUUAUGAAAGAUGUAAGUUGGUGUGUGUUUUGUAUAUAUUUAUAACAUGAUUUUAGAAGUUUCAUAUUAGUGCAAUUCUUCACAUGACAAUUAUUUAUUAUUGGCAAAAAUUUGCUUAUUGUUGUAUUAUGUAUAUAUUUAUUUUUCAUUGCUAGUCUUGGUAAGAGGUAAUUGUAUAAAUUUUUAACUUUUUAACUACAAAAUAAUCAGUUUGAAUAGGUUUGUUUUUGAUUUUACAAAUACAAAAAAUAUAAUAAAAAUAGUAAUAAACUGAGAAAUUGAAGUAAAGGCAACAAACAUCACUAUUAUUCAAUAUAUAAUAAAAGUUGAUGUACGUGAAGUACAUAUGGGUGUUGAGAAUCUCUUGCUUUAUUUUAAUAUGUGCUGAAAAGAUUUAGAACAUUUUGUCCUAUACUCUGUCCGUAUUUUAUUUGAAACUUUGAACACAAUUGUUGUACUUAACCUUUUCCACUUGGCUUUCUACAAUUUCGUUAUCUGCAGGAUUUCUGAUUUUUGGGUGUUCCCAUGUAUUCUUACUGUAUUUGUAUUUUCAUGCAAUCUGUUGACAUUUUAAAACCAAUCACUCACUAUUUUAUGUGGUGUAGGGAAAGAAAUCAAAAUAUGUAUGGUAUAGGAGCCCAGAAUCAGUUUGCAUUGUAUAACCAUACAGUCUGAAUAUAUUUAAUUCAACAAGAGAAUUUCCUCUAAUAAACAAUCAAUUAUCAGCAAGAGUAUUUUAGGUGGAGGCCAUAAUGUGAAGGUAAAAAAGCUUAAAGAUAUCAAACAUUUUUUGUCCUAAUUUUCUAAACAUACUGAAAACUGACAGUCAGGCAUGUAAAUGAAAGUCAAAUAAACAUCAACUAACCAUAAACACACUGAUAUUUGGUAGAAAGUUAUGACUUUCAGUCCCUUUAUAUAGUUAUCUUACAGUGAUAUAACAAUAGGCAGUCUACUCAGAUAAAUAAGAUCUUAAAAAAAUUAUAGUUUGAUAUUUUUAACCCCUUUAAUGCCUUUCAGUUUCAAACUCCAUAAAAAUCAGCAGACAUAAAAGAUAGUCUUUUGGAUUUGGAUUUCUUUCUGUAUAUGUUUGGGUUUCUUUUCAAAAGAAAUUUCUGUAUUAAUAUCCUGAAAAACCAGAUUUUGCGAUUAUACAAUGCUAAUUGGCUUUCAGCUCCAGGACUAUUAGUUAGUUGUUGCCUUUUAUUACUGUGAACUCAGCUGUCUUCUAAUAACACCUGUCAGUUAAUAAGCAACAAAUUUACUGUACUUAACCCUUUGAGUGCUGUGGCAUUGGCAUAUCAGACGCAGUAAAAACCUUGUUUAUUGCCGGCGUCAGUUAGCACGACAAUCCAUAUUUAGAUGAUUUCUCCUAACACAGUUGAAAUAUCCGAGUAACCACAUAAUUAUCUGCAUUGAUAUAUUUCAAUGUAUUGAUUAAUGGGUGUUUUUUAUUCCUGUUAGUCUCAUGUCUAUUUUAUGUUGUUAUGGUCUGUCAGCUGAUGAAUUUGUCAGGUGAGAAUUACACAUUUGGCUAGUAGCACUGUUUACUUCAUUUUGCAAUUGUUUUAUGUAAAAGCAAAACAUAAAUCAAUGCACAAUUUACAUUAAUUAUUAGUGUAAUAAUAUCAAUAUUUAUAUUUGGAUGUUUCUAUAGCAGCGAGCUAUUGUUUGUUUUAUUGUUUCCAGUAUACCUGCUGAGUGCAUACAAUUUUGACAAUCUAUUGUUGACCUUAGCUUAUUAUGGAAAAAGUAUAAUAUUAUACAUGAAUUUUAUUUAUAAUUUCUCCACAUGGUAUAGCUACAUAAAUCUAAAAAAAAAAUAAUACAAAUAGACAAUUUUGAGUGAAACUCAAAAGUUUGUUGUAAAGGUAAAAAAUGUUUGUAUUUUGUAUAUUAUUUUUGCCACAAGACAUAGGUAUCAUAUUCUUCAUGUAUUGCAAAAAAGGGGGGGGUUAACAUAGCGGAUUGGCUAUACCACUCAAAGGGUUAAUACCAUAUUUCAAUAAUUUAACAUUAAUAGUUUGUUUAGUAAUAUUAGCUUAAAGAAAAAUUUGGGUUUGAUAUUUAAAAUAAUUGCAAAUAGUUUCUUUUAAGUUUAAAUUAUAAAUAUGUAAAUUUCUAAUUAAAUAUGCUUCAAACAACAACGAAAUGUUAAAAGGUACAAUAUAUAUAUAUGCAGUAUAUUGUCAAUAUUAAUUAUGUGAGUCUAAAGAGAUAAUCAAUAUUAACCUCUUAAAAGAGGACCAAUGUAUUUUGUAGUAAAUAAGGGCAGUGUGCAGUUUUGGCCAAGGUGGAGCACCACAUGUAUUAUAGGUGAGCUGGUGACCGCACAGUCUAAAAUGCUGGGUUUGGAUCUGAUUUCGAGUUGAGCACAACUCUGAAUCUUGUUUUUAUGCUCUUGUUGUUAUCAUAGCACUUUUAGUUAGUUCUGUACUGACUCUUCUUUAUUCUGUUUCAUAAGAUCCUCACACAAGUCAGUAGCCUAUCAGGAUGGGUUGUGUAAAGCAAAAAGACUUCAAUCUGUCUUAAAAAAAUACAUGUAUAUAUACACAAAAUUUGGUUAAAAGAUUAAGGUGGUACAAGUUGGUUUUUGAAAAUAUAUUUUUAAAUUUGAGAGUCACAGCCCGUAGAAAAUUUCCUGAAGACAGGAAAUAUGGAAAAAAUGUAUUGUAUUACUCCAUGUAGACUUAUAAGACAUUUAAAGUAUAAAUUUUGGGCAAUGUUUUUAAACAAACUGCCAUAUUUUUAAUAGAAUUUUUUAAAAUUACAUCUUUUUAAAUAAAGUAUUACUUAAAAAAAUUAAUUCUUUAUAAUUAAAGACACGUCAUUCCCUUCAAUUAUCUUUCACAUACUAUAAAAAAAAUCAUAUCCUUAUCUCCAGCCAUUUUUCUUUGUGCCUGAUCAUAACAUGUCUCUAAAUACUAUUUUAAUCCUAAAUUUUCUUGUUAAACAAUAUAAAUUUUGGUCUAGUUUUUUUAUCGUCCUGGCAGGUAUUUUACAAAAGAAAUUUAAAAUAACGAUUAAAAAAACUACUCAAUUAAAUACAAAUUUUACCACAUUAAUGCUGACUUACCUUAUUUCUUUACAGGUUUGAUAUUUAAGUAACACUUAGGAAAUGUUUUCUUAUGGUUUUCAAAAUGUGCUUUAUUAUGGUGCUCUGAGUAAUAAAGUCAUUAUAUCAAGAUUGUGUUAGUGUUAUUUAUUCACAAGAUAUAGGAGAUAUAGUAUUGCUGAUUAAUUGAAUGAUUGUACUGCUAAAUAUUUGCUAUUCAGAUUACAAAACAUUUUAUUUUCAGUAAGAAACUUAAGACCAAAUGCUAUCUGAAAUAUCACAAAAGUUACUUUCCAAAAAAUGUAAUACAAGAUUUAGUUUAUUAAUAUUGAUUAUAAAAAAUUUGUUAAUGAUUUUAUCUUUGAAACGCCACAUCAUUAUUUUUGCUGUAUACAAACACUUUUUUUAAUCACGGCUAUAAAAUAGAAAGUUGAAAAGUUGCUACCUAAUAUAACGCCAAACCAGACUGGCUAAUGGCGUGGUCUAGAGAGUAGAGUAGUAAUCACAAGAUAACAGAGUCAAGCAAUGUCAAGUAUGGUUGUUUCUUGAAUGAGUGAUGACUGAGUGAUCCUGUUUUUGCAAGCAGCCUUCCUUCUACCCGACCAUCUGCGGUAGUUCGGAAAUCACCUUUAAGCUGUUGAUGCUCAGAUUCAGUUGUUGUUCAUUUAAGACAAGAAGCUGAGGAAACCUCUUAUUGCCCGUAGUCCUAAAAAGAAUCUCUGAUUUUGCUUUCAAAAAGAGAAAGAAUAUUCUGGAUGUGUAAGUUUGGGGAUCUCCUGUCAAUAUCGUAGGUUAUAUGUACCAUAAGGAUAACAGACACUAUAUCUAAAUCAUGUUACCUUGUGAGAAGGAAAGGCUAGCUUUGUUUCAGCCUCUUCAAGUCAAAGCAGUAAGGGGACAAUACUCUCUCAUGUUUAGGCUUCCAAUAAUUUUCAACAUUAGGUAGCUCCAGUCACUCCAACAGCCAUUCUCUGCAGUAAACUAGACCUAUCAAUCGACUCUUUUACUCAGAUAUCUCAACAUUUGCAGUUAGUGAUGUGCUGCUCUUUAACAUCCAUGGGGUUUUUUUUCAAAUGUAAGUGACAAAACGGUUUAUGCUUUAUUUACUGAAGGGUAAAAUAAUGUAUAAACCAGUCAGAUGAGUCCUCUUGGAGUGGUUCAUUUAAUAUUAGAGUGGUUUUUUUUAGUCCAAACGUCACCUAGUAACUGGGUUUUAUUGCUUUGUAGUCCAAAAUGGGAAGAUACUAUUCAUCAGAAUAGACAAAAAUAUAAUAAUUGAUUCGAUUCAAAUCAUUCUCAUCUGUAGCCUACGUGAUUUUGUUCAUUUUCCAAUAAUUUAGAUUAUGAUCUCACCCACUCUAAAUAGAUAUAAGAAGUAACCCAUUACAAAAUAUUUUAUAUUUGAAUUACUAAAGUAAAGUAAGUGUUUUUAUGAUUUACCGUUUUAUUUCUUAGAAUUUAGUAUAUUUUAGUUUACAAAAUGUGUACUAAAACAAACAAAAAUAAUUUUAAAAGUAUCAAAUGUAACACUAAGUAUGAUGUUCACUUUGAAAACAGGUUGUUAGUUGCAUAAUGUUUUGAUUGUAUUAGUUACACAGGAAAUAAUCAUUCAUACAGAUAUGAUGUGUUGAGAUUUGGGUAUUAUUUCAGUUAGUUUUGAGUUCCAACAAUAGGACUGCACCAUUUGACUUUCAUUAUUACCGUUCAAUCAUUUGCUACUUGACCUCUAACUCCAAAGAUGGCAGUCCGAGCACUCAAUUUUGCAAUGUUUUCAAUUUAUAGCAUUGCAUGAAUUAUCUCUGUGUGACUAAUACAAUAAAAGAUAAUACUUUGUUUCAGUACGAUUAUAUACAUAUCUUAUGCAUGUAGUAAAAUGUUAGCAUUCUAUUUUUUAGAAAUUUAUGUACUACUGUAAAUUUAUAUACAUGGUUGGUUGUAUUUGUACAAACCUUCUUUGAUUAAUGCAGUUGCUUUAAAUUUUGAUUGGUGCUUUAACCUUGCUUGAAAUAAUAUAUUUACUUCUCUUUAUACUCUAACCCCGGUACUUGCUGCAGUUGAUAUUUUUACAACACAGGGCACUGAAUACAGUUUUACAGUACAGAUAAGCACCUUUGAAAAGAUACAGAUUUGUACUUUCAAAGUCUUGUUAAUAAUUAAUUAUUCAUUUACACGCUAUUUCUGUUCGUUCAAUGUAUUUGUUUUUCUCUGCCGAUCCUAUCUGAUUUAUUCAGAAAGUUAUCACUGGAAAGAAGUUGACAUUUAAUUUUAUCUACUUUGAAUUAGUUGUAAAAUUAGAAUACUGAGGUUUUUGUUUCAUUUAUAGGCUGUGUUGGACAGGUGGUUAGUAUAGCUAAUCUGGUUUCACAUUCUUCGUGAAAUCUCAAUAACACCAUACAAUACUUUUUAACACAUUAACGGCUGUGCCGAGGCAACCCACAAGACAACCAUGGUCGUUAUGACAGCUUUUCGCGUGGAGUUAGCCGACAGCAUCACUAUGCAGCUGGUAGCCAUUUUCUUUUGAUUCCCGUUUGUGCUGCACUCUGACAGAACUCGAUAAAAUGAUUUGAACUAGAAAGAGUUGGACAUUUCGCAGGAUGUUGUCUUUUGUUGUAAAGUGUUUCUCCAACUGAGAUUGAAAGAUUUAUCAAUUAUUGACGCAAUUUGUCAGGCCACUUUACCCAACAGGUUGUUGCUAACAUAUAAACUGGGUUAUGUCGUUUGGUAAUACAAAAAAUAACUCUGUCUUAUAUUUUCAUUCAGUUUAUCACAAAUUUUAUUUUGCUUCAUUUUAUAAAAUUAACAAACAUUACUUGUGAAUGUCUCUGAAACUUUUCUGACACAAAAAUGGUUUUUGUGGGCAUUCACUACUUAAUGUAGUCACACCUUAUAAGAUGAUAUGUGUGUUAUAUAUCUUGCCAUAUUAUGUCCUAUUUCUGCAGACAUUCUUUUAUAGCAAAUUUUGAACAAUUUUGUUGUUUAGCGUUUUCUAGCUCUUUCCCCAACAAAAGGAGAUGACAUCAUUUAAUGGGGAUCAGUUGCUGUUAUUCUCAGAGUAUGUGGUUCUUUAUGCACGCCUUUCAAUGAACAGACCAAUUUUUCUUUGAACUGAGUAAUAUUGUAUGACACUAUACUUAUCUUGAUGAUAACGUAUUAAAGAUAUUUUUUAUUUGAUUUGAUUGAGACCACAUGUUUCUUUUCCUGAGCAUUAGGAUUUGUCUUAGAGUUCAGGAAACUAUUGUAAGCCAACCAACUGUUAAACACUGAAGUCCCAAGCGGAAGUUCCUCUCCUACUUUGUGUAACCAUAGCAUUGUCUUUUGUACUGUAGUGCUGUAGAAUGACAUUUGAUCCGAAAGAUCAGUCCCAACUUUUGCCUUAUUGUAGUCAACGAAAAUAUUUUGGUCCACUGGUAUUUUUAGGGUCAAGCACGGCAUAUUCAGACCUAUGUAUGUAUAGAGCAGGUGUACUUCGCUCUUAUCUUUCUAUUUAAUAACCACUAUGCCUGAUUGUUUUCUGAGCACACCAUUUCAACCUUAAAAAGUUUUUGUUUUAAGAAGUGUUUUGACAAAAAUCUUUGUGGUUCUUUCUCAAAGUACCAGCGAGAUGUGUUUGAUAUGACAUCAGAUUGGCAAGUUCAACAUAGGUGUGAUAAUUGUCAACAUAUAGGUUAUGACCUUUAUUCAAACUGUUUGUCAUAAGCUCAUUUACUACUUUGGCAGACAGAAAUACAAUGUGAUUUUUCUGUAAAAUGGCAGUAAAACACUUCCGAGAAUGACUAACAACUUUACAUGUAAAUAUUCGUGAUGGGCUGAAUUACACAAUGCUUUAUAUAUAUGAUACUAAUAAACAAAUCAUCAAAUUGUAGUUAUUAGUGCCCAGUAUAGAGAAAAAAAGCCAAAGUUACAAGAAUCGAAAUUAAAAAUAUUUGGUACUUUACCACUAAAAUGUUAUGUAAGUAGUCGCCAGUUAGCGUGUUAAACUAGACAAAGUUUGUUAUCUUUUGUAUAUAUCUCACAUUCCCAAAUUUAAAUUAUAGUGUCUAUUUCCUAAGUAUGUACAAUUUAUUUUCACAAUUCAUAACUUUAGCUCAUGUAAAAAUAUACACAAUAUAUUUUAAUAUUCUCUAGGUUUUGCUGAACAACAUGACAUCUAUAUAAAUAAAAAUAUAAUGCUGUUUGUAAGCACUUCACUUGAGAAAUGCUGGACUGAUUUGGUUAUUGUUUUGUUUUAAACUGUUUAGUAAAAUAAACCAAAUUAGGUUUUAUGGAAAGAUAACUUUUAAAAGUUGGAAAAAUGUAUGUGUUUUAGAGUUCCCGCAUGAACUAAACAUUCCAAGUGAUUUGAGAGGUAGUAGUGGAUUGUAAAAAGCAAUGAUAAUAGUGUUUGCUAACUUUUACUAUAAACGGUGCCAGUGAUGUAUUUAAUUGAUUUGGUGUAUUCUGACUAUUAUUUUAAAACUACCAUUGGAAUUCUGCAAUUAACCAGGUCUAUUCUAUUCUUCUUAGACUUUUAUUUUUCCCCUUGUAUUAUUUUAACAUGUAUAAUUCAAGGUGUGGAAGAAGCAUUCCUUGAUAAUCCGAAUUGUCCCUUCUGCAGAACAAUUACUUGAAUAAUACAAGUUUUAAAAAGGAAACUACCAAGAAAUAUAAUGUGAGGUAGAUAGUGUAUUUUUAUGCUGAAUCAUCCAUCCCUCACCUUGCUUGCACAUUUGUUUAUUUUCCCAUUUUAGUUUGUAAAUGCAACGAGGCUCAUUUUAUUAUUCCCAUAUAAAAUAUGUAUUUAUUCUCAGUGACUGUAAUUUUGUUUUGUUUUAGUGAAUGAAAAGCAUUGUGCCAUUUCCACAAUGUUUUUGAGAAUCCCUUUGUGUACAAGAUUCUCACAUGGCAAAACUUGUACAUAAGGAAAAAGUUAUUGUAGAUCCAACUAUGGUUGGUUUUAGAAAAUGCUAGGUUGUAAACGUUCGGCAUACCAUCUUUGCCACUUCGCUCUCUCAAUGAUUGUGAAAAAAAGAUAAGGAAAACAUUUUAUAAUCAUUAUUGAAGAAAAUUAAAUGCCUUGUUGAAGUUAAUGUUUUUUAUCAGUUAAUUGUAGUCUACUAAAUUUCACUUUGUCUAACAAUCAAGAAAUAUUUAAAAAUUUAACAUAAUGUAAACAGUGCAGUUAUUUACUAAUGAUAAAAUGUACACCAAUAAUCAGUUAUAUAGAUCGAUGUAAUCCACUUAUUUCACUUGUACAUUUUUGACACAACUAUCGAUAAAGUUUGAAGACAUAGUAUCACACGAAUUCAAACAUUAACAUUUGAUAACACUCAAAUUUGUAUAGUUACCCAUGAUAUUAGCUUUAUUAAGUGGUAACUGAAUUGUGCUUCAAAAUGUAUGCAAAUAUAAAGCAAUGUUUGUGCUACAAUACUAUCUCAGUACAUAUUCAAUUUGACCUGAGCUACAGUUUCUAGCUUGUAACAAAGAAAUAUUACCACAGUUUCUGAAUGCUAAGUAAAUGAGCUUAAGUGAGCAAGCAGCUUCUACAUAGGCGUUGGUUGAACUGUCACUGAAUACCAGGAUAAUCUGAUUAACUAUAAACUGAAAGAAUAGGAAGUAUGUGAUAAAUAUGUAAAUGCAGUAGGUUUCUGAAGAGAGUUGAGCUCCAGCAGAACGAAAUUAUUUAAAUAUGAUCAGUGGGAUCAAGUUUUAAAAGAGAGUAGCAACUGAAUGGUGUGGUUAAAACAAAUAAACAUAUUUUAAAAUUCACUCUAUUCUAUAGUACAAAAAAAAUUAUCAAAUUGUGUAAAAAAAAUGAAAGGUCUAUUGUUGGGAAUUCACUAUGUAUUUAUUUGCUACUGUUAUACAUGCCUUGAACCUUAUUGAAAUUAGUGAAGCUGAUUGAUUAUUGGUACAAAUGAUCCUUCCAACCCAAAUAUUCAAUUAGACAUUUAUAUUGUUAAUAUGUAAUACAGUAAAUAAUAUUUCAACACCUUUUUACUCUUAACAGGCUUAUAAUUUAUAUCAAUUUGAUCACUUGAUGUGUCAAUUAUAUAAAUCCAUCAGCAAGAUACUCAUUAAAUUUGUUAUUUUUAUAGUAUACAUAAUGUAUUUUGUAUAAAUUUUGUGUAUAAGAUUUAGAUGUAGCUUUAAAUAUAUUUUAUUUUGUGUUUGUAAAGUUAUAAUAUUGUUGAUUUAAAGCCAUUUUACUUUUAAAGAUCAAAACAGUUUUAUUUGUUACUGCAAACUUAGAAUAUAAUAUUGUUAUCAUUUGUUAGUUUAUUAUUAUCAUGUAUAUUAUGCCACCUGAAUUGUUUGCCCACAAAAUCAUAUUUAUAAGUGAUGAUUUUAGAAAUAAACAGAUUAAUAUUUA